rnacentral:rRNA from 1 species
CAANGGAUCCCUAGUAACGGCGAGUGAAGAGGGAAGAGCCCAAGAUUGAAAGCUGGCGUCUUCGGCGUCCGCAUUGUAAUCUCAAGAAGUGUUUUCCGCUUCGGACCAUGCCUAAGUCCCUUGGAAAAGGGCAUCAUAGAGGGUGAUAAUCCCGUACAUGGCAUGGAGCGCCCGAAGCUUUGUGAUACGCUUUCAAAGAGUCGAGUUGUUUGGGAAUGCAGCUCAAAAUGGGUGGUAAAUGCCAUCUAAGGCUAAAUAUUGGGGAGAGACCGAUAGCGAACAAGUACAGUGAUGGAAAGAUGAAAAGAACUUUGAAAAGAGAGUUAAACAGUACGUGAAAUUGCCAAAAGGGAAGGGUAGGAGGUCAGAGAUGCGUCUUGGGAUUCAGCCUUGCUUUUUGCAUGGUGUUUUUCCCAAGUUGCAGGCCAACGUCGGUUUUGGGCACUGGAGAAGGGUGGAAGGAACGUGGCACCUCUCGGGGUGUGUUAUAGCCUUCUACUGGAUACAGCGACCGAGACCGAGGACAGCAGCGUACUCGCAAGAGCGGGCCUUCGGGCACCUUUACGCUUAGGGCGUUGGCAUAAUGGCCCUCUACCACCCGUCUUGAAACACGGACCAACA